rnacentral:rRNA from 1 species
UAGGGAAUCUUCGGCAAUGGACGAAAGUCUGACCGAGCAACGCCGCGUGAGUGAAGAAGGUUUUCGGAUCGUAAAACUCUGUUGUUAGAGAAGAACAAGGACGUUAGUAACUGAACGUCCCCUGACGGUAUCUAACCAGAAAGCCACGGCUAACUACGUGCCAGCAGCCGCGGUAAUACGUAGGUGGCAAGCGUUGUCCGGAUUUAUUGGGCGUAAAGCGAGCGCAGGCGGUUUCUUAAGUCUGAUGUGAAAGCCCCCGGCUCAACCGGGGAGGGUCAUUGGAGACUGGGAGACUUGAGUGCAGAAGAGGAGAGUGGAAUUCCAUGUGUAGCGGUGAAAUGCGUAGAUAUAUGGAGGCACACCAGUGGCGAAGGCGGCUCUCUGGUCUGUAACUGACGCUGAGGCUCGAAAGCGUGGGGAGCAAACAGG